rnacentral:rRNA from 1 species
GUCUUUUGAGUACCUUCGUUUCCUCGGCGGGUCCGCCCGCCGAUUGGACAAUUUAAACCAUUUGCAGUUGCAAUCAGCGUCUGAAAAAACUUAACAGUUACAACUUUCAACAACGGAUCUCUUGGUUCUGGCAUCGAUGAAGAACGCAGCGAAAUGCGAUAAGUAGUGUGAAUUGCAGAAUUCAGUGAAUCAUCGAAUCUUUGAACGCACAUUGCGCCCCUUGGUAUUCCAUGGGGCAUGCCUGUUCGAGCGUCAUUUGUACCUUCAAGCUUUGCUUGGUGUUGGGUGUUUGUCUCGCCUCUGCGCGCAGACUCGCCUCAAAACAAUUGGCAGCCGGCGUAUUGAUUUCGGAGCGCAGUACAUCUCGCACUCUGCCUUCACCACGACGGCGUCCACAAGUACAUUUUACACUCUUGACCUCGGAUCAGGUAGGGAUACCCGCUGAACUUAAGCAUAUC